UACGUAGGGGGCAAGCGUUGUCCGGAUUUAUUGGGCGUAAAGAGCGUGUAGGCGGCUGGGUAGGUCCGUUGUGAAAACUCGAGGCUCAACCUCGAGACGCCGAUGGAAACCCUCCAGCUAGAGUCCGGAAGAGGAGAGUGGAAUUCCUGGUGUAGCGGUGAAAUGCGCAGAUAUCAGGAGGAACACCGAUGGCGAAGGCAGGUCUCUGGGCCACUACUGACGCUGAGAAGCGAAAGCAUGGGGAGCGAACAGG
rnacentral:rRNA from 1 species